rnacentral:rRNA from 1 species
CCCUUAGAUGUUCUGGGCUGCACCCGUGCUACACUGGCAGGUUCAGCGAGCUUCAUGCCCUGAUCUGAAGGGAAUGGGAAAUCUUUUCAAAACCUGCCGUGCUUGGGAUAGAUGUUUGCAAUUAUUCAUCUUCAACGAGGAUUGCCUUGUAAGCGCACGUCAUCAGCGUGCAUUGAAUACGACCCUGUAUUCUGUACACACCGCCCGUCGCUCCUACCGAUUGAAGUUUUCGGUGAGUUGACAGGAGGAUUUUUUUGAAACUGGUUCGCCAGUGGAUUUUAGAUCCAAAUGCCAACGAAUCGAUGGCUUUAGAGGAAGGAGAAGUCGUAACA